rnacentral:lncRNA from 1 species
GACAAGUUUAUAAACUUGCUGUGGGAAACCUAGCUGCUCAAUGAAGGGGCUGAAAAAUCCAUUCCAGUUCUGACUGCAGUCUUUUGUAACAACACCUUGUCUAAAGACCACCAGCGUUCAAGGGUACUGGGAGCAGCAAAGAAAAGCCACAGCAACAUCAGUUUGACCACGAAUGCUGCUUAAUGGUGUGUUAAAACGCUGCAAUGAAGAAUAACUUGCUGACAUGAUACCUCCUGAAGGGACACACACAAAUGCUGACUCCUUUGUUUUUUAAUUGGUUCCUUCGCCAUUUCAGCUGCCACCAUCCCCUCUCCCCAAAACCCCAGUAGACAUCAACAGAAUCCAGAAACUACAGGGUCCACUGGCAUGGCAGGGCCUGUAGGAUUCUUUUCCAAUGUGUACAGAUUGGCUGAUGCCUGGACUAUGCCAGUUCACUGUUUUAAAGAUUACUCUUGAUUGUCACAAUUAAAAACAAAGAAUAUUUAGAACCAAAUUAUAUGUGUUGCACAUUAAACAAAACGUUUUAUAAUAUGUUCUAAAAGUCAGCAAAGGUUAUUUAGCUGUGUAUGAUUCAUUUCACAAUUCCAUUUUUUAAUAUUGUAAUUCUCCCUUAUGCCUUCUAAUUUUUUUUGAAAUGACCACAGAUAUCUUCUGUAGGCCAAAUAGCAUAUUACACAUCUGUCAAAACAUACUUUAUUAUCAUAUAACUCUGUUUACAAAGUCUCUUGAACCCUUUCAGAUUGUUCUGGCUGCUUGUUUUGUGUUCAUUUCUUUCUUUAAUGUGUUUACAUUUUCCAGUCAUUUGUAUAAAUAAGGAUGUACUAGAAUAAAUAGUCUUUCCCCUUUAAGACCCAGUCUAAAUUUCAAGGUUAGUUUUAAAUUUUGUUCUUCAUUUCAAUAUGACAGCAAAGUUGUUUGAUACUAAGAAUAAUUCUUUUUGAUGAAAAUACUAUAUUUAAGAAAUCAAUAAUACUAUGAACUGACUUAUAUUCUCUUUAAAUUUAUAGACCUAACUAUACACCCCAUGUGAUGGUAUUUGGAGAUGGACCUUUGGAAGGUAAUUCAGGUUAGAUGAGAUCAUGAAGGUAUAGUCCUCAUGACGGGAUUAGUGUCUUCAUAAUGUGAUAGAGAGAGAGAGAGAGAGAGAGAAAAGGAGAGAGAGAGGAAGAGAAAUUAUCACAAAAAAAGAGGUCAUCUGAGUACACAGUGAGAUAGAAGCCACCUAUAAUCCAAGAAAAGAGUCCUCAGAAUAAAACCUACCUUGUGGACACCUUGAUCUUGGACUUCCAGUCUCCAGAACUAUGAGAAAUGAAUUUCUGUUGUUUAAGCAACUCAGUCUGUGGUACUUUGUUGUCUCAACUGAAGCAGAUGAAUACAAAUAAUAAAUAGAGUGGUGUACAUUAGUGAUGGAUGGCUCACUAUUAGAGAAGCCC